AACAGUUUAUCAAAAACUGAGCAUGCAAUUGCAAAUGAAUAAGGAGGAUAAAAUUCGGAAUGAUUGUAAAGGAAUAAAUAAGUUAUCAAAUUCGGAGGAACAAUAUAUAAUUUUAAUUUUUCAAAAUGGCCUUGAUCCUCAGGCAAAUAUGGUAUUUGAAAGCAUCAUUACUGACAUUGGUAUA